rnacentral:tRNA from 1 species
GCGAAGGUGGCGGAAUUGGUAGACGCGCUAGCUUCAGGUGUUAGUGUCCUUACGGACGUGGGGGUUCAACUCCCCCUCCUCGCACCA